CACGAACGCUGGCGGCAGGCCUAACACAUGCAAGUCGAACGUGAAGCCACCUUCGGGUGGUGGAAAGUGGCAGACGGGUGAGUAACGCGUGGGAACGUGCCUUUCGGUUCGGGAUAACCCAGGGAAACUUGGGCUAAUACCGGAUACGCCCUCCGGGGGAAAGAUUCAUUGCCGAAAGAUCGGCCCGCGUCGGAUUAGCUAGUUGGUGGGGUAAAAGCCUACCAAGGCGACGAUCCGUAGCUGGUCUGAGAGGAUGACCAGCCACACUGGGACUGAGACACGGCCCAGACUCCUACGGGAGGCAGCAGUGGGGAAUAUUGGACAAUGGGCGAAAGCCUGAUCCAGCCAUGCCGCGUGAGUGAUGAAGGCCUUAGGGUUGUAAAGCUCUUUCAGUAGGGACGAUAAUGACGGUACCUACAGAAGAAGCCCCGGCUAACUUCGUGCCAGCAGCCGCCGUAAGAC
rnacentral:rRNA from 1 species